rnacentral:lncRNA from 1 species
AGCCCUCAAGACAGAAUCACGGAACAUACAGCUGAUGUGUGAGAAAGGAGACCAUAGGUGGAGAGAAGAAAAAAGGAAGAAACAUCGUCAUAGGAAUGCCAAGGUGGUUGUUUUGAUCAAGUAGAUUAACUCAAGCCACAUUGAAAGCAGUCUGGCAGACUCAAUGUGAGCUGUUAGCAACGGUAUUUGAUUUCAAUUUAAACAAAUGAUCAGGAAAGUAGGUCAAGUAUUCAUGGGCUGGCCUGUCUGCGAAGAUAACCAUUAACCUCUCUAAUCAACUUAGCCAGAAGUUCAAGGCACUUUAAAGUGAAGAUUAUUGGGCCAGGACAGCAUGAAGGACAGUAUGAAGCAUGUUCUGCAGCCUUCUUACCCAAGGAAGAGAAGAAUGGUGAUAAUCUGGAGCUGUGCUCAUGCUUCCUACCUCCUGACUGGGCCCCAACCUGAGGUGGAGCUAACUGACCAGGACACAUGAAACUGCUGGACACGACAUGAGAAAUUGCUGGCUGUGAGAGGUGACAUUGUAAGCAGCUGCUGAAUGU